rnacentral:tRNA from 1 species
GCCAUGUUAGUUUAUUUUAAAAAUGUGUGAUUUGUAAUCAUGAGUAUGAAGUGGUU